rnacentral:rRNA from 1 species
GUNUGAANUCAGAUCACGUAAGAUUUAAANUCGNACAGACUUAUANNUUAAGNUNCUGCNCCUAAAUAUAUUUCUUAAUCCAACAUCGAGGUCGUAAUCUUUUUUAUUAAUAAGAACUCUCCAAAAAAAUUACGCUGUUAUCCCUAAAGUAACUUAAUUUAAUAAUCAAUAAUAAUGGAUCAANAUUUCAAAAAUAAUUGUAAAAUUAAUUAAAAGUUAAUUAAAUUUUAAUAUCACCCCAAUAAAAUAAUAUAAAUAUAUUGUAUUAAAAUUUAUCUAUAAAAAUAUAAUAAUUUAAUUAUAAAGAUUUAUAGGGUCUUCUCGUCUUUUAAAAAAAUUUUAGCUUUUUUACUAAAAAAUAAAAUUUUAUUAUAAAUUUAUAUGAAACAGUUAAUAUUUCGUCCAACCAUUCAUUCCAGCCUUCAAUUAAAAGACUAAUUAUUAUGCUACCUUUGCACAGUUAAAAUACUGCGGCCAUUCAAUNUAAAUCAANGGNCAGGUNANACUUNAANUNAANNNCUAAAAGACANGUUUUNGNUAAAC